ensembl:lncRNA
AAGUGAGUGCCGCUCGGGUUUGAAUGCAGAAAACAAACAAUCUGACUUUUAAAUCACACCGUGAUGACAGUUUUUGGGGCGUUUUUUUGGGAUUGGCCCGGCUUUAAUUUGUUUCUGAUUUUUUAGGGUCAGUUAAUUUAAAGCUGAGUAAUGUCUUGAUGUCUGGUUAAGAUUGUAUUUCAAUAGUUCACUUCUCCUUUUCAGACGAGGGCUCCUCCGCUUUCCCUCUAUAGCCUUCGGGGUGUGAGACUGAAGUUGUACCUCCGCCAAGAAAGGUUAAGAUGAUUUCAGAGAAAUAAUGAAUCUCCCAACGACAUUACGAACAUUAUGACUCCACAGGAUGCACUCGACUCAGUGUGAGCGGUACGCGUGACGGCAGCACAGUCCACCGGAGAAUUACUUUCUACUCACAGGAAGCUUGUGUUUUGGACGAUGGAUUAUACGUUGGUGAUGAAAAGAUGGAGCUCGGUGUGACUCAUAAAGAUUGGUUUCUCAGCAACGGCAGAAAACCGUAAUGUUAUUCAUCGGUUUAUGAACAAAGCCCAGCAUGUAGUCAAGGUAACAUACAGUUUGAUACAUUAUAUUUGUUCAUCCCUGUAGAUGAUUUCAGAAAACAGACCAUAUUUAAUUUGACGUUUUCCCCCUGCAGCGGCCUAAAAGAAAAAUAUGUCCAGUGUGCUGCAAUAAUGUGAAAAUGAAAACUGAAGUCGCCGUGUACGAUCGUGCCGCUGCUGCGUGUAUUUAAAUGUUUUAUGGUUUGCGUGAGUUACAGUUACACUCGGUCUUCCAAUGAAUACAUGUGUUUAUAAUAAAUUAUCAGAUGUUCAGUUUUC